rnacentral:rRNA from 1 species
AUGUUGCAUGAUAAUUACUCAAAUUGUAACCCAGAAUUUGUACAGGCUGCCUGCAAGAAAUUUGAAUCGAAAAUCUCUGAGCUGAAGAACCGCCUGAAGACUCAGGAAACUGACACCCGGAAGGCCAAUGCCAAAUUUGAGUUCAGUGUUGCUGCACAAGAAAAACUGAAAAAGAAAUUUGAAACAGAAAGAAAGACUUGGGCCGAGGAGAAGACUGCCUUGCUCAGCCAGGCCGAACAAGCUGAGGCUGCUCUGACUGAAAGAACCGCCGAACUCUCCGGCUUAAAACGCCAUGUGUCACAGAUGGUCUCCGCAAUCUUCGGUAAGUCAUUCUGCAAGCUUUUAAUAAGUUUACAUUCUUUAUGUCUCAUAAGUCCCACCAUUGCCAUCAGCUCAUCUGACGUUAUUAUGCAGGUCCCAGAAGCUCCAAUUUGA